rnacentral:piRNA from 1 species
UGCGUGCAGACUCCAGGAAGAGAGAUG